rfam:Lupinus angustifolius cultivar Tanjil chromosome LG20, whole genome shotgun sequence.
GACUCUCGGCAACGGAUAUCUCGGCUCUUGCAUCAAUGAAGAACCUAGAGAAAUGCGAUACUUGGUGUGAAUUGCGGUAUCCUAUGAACCAUCGAGUCUUUGAAUGCAAGUUGCCCCCGAUGCCAUUAGGCCGAGGGCACGCCUGCCUGGGUUUUU